rnacentral:lncRNA from 1 species
CCCAGAGCCCUCAGCCCCCUAAGCAGCUCCAAAGCUGUGCUCAUUAGGGCUUGAUGAGCUUCAGGCUCCCUCAGCUGAGGCUAUUUUACCCGGUUGCUCCGGUGGCAUGUUUCUCCAGGGAGCUUGGGCCACAAGGACCUUCUCUGUGUCAUGCAUCACUCUGAGCCCUGCACAUGCAGGUGAAGGUGCUCAGCCCAGCUCCAAAACCUUGGAGACCUUUUCAGCUGCUGACCUGCCUUCUGCAAUGGACUGUGAGGAAAAACGUCACCCAUGAGCACUGCAGGGCGCUGGUGCACAUCCAUCCCACAGGCAGCGAGACAGCACUCAGUCUGUUACCAGCGCCCCCUGCAGCACCGGGACCAGGACACCGAAGUGCCACGCGAAGGGCUGUGCUUUGGAUCCCAAAAGCAGGCUGCAGAAGGGCUGCCGGAGGGCACAUUGCGUGGCAGCUGGAGAGAAGCGAAGCCCUGUUCCUGCCGGGGACAGGAGCGGCUCCUCCAGGUGCAGCGCAGAUGAGGCAACGCAGCUUUUGUUAUCUUUAAUUGCUCGAGUUGCUGCCUGCGUGAGAACGCUGCACUGGCACGGCCAGAGGCAAUUGCACCAUUUCAGGCGAUAGGUGAGGGCUUGUUCCCCUCGGUGCUCAUGGUUCAGAAGGUUUCUUUCCCACGGGUAACCGGUCCUCAUUAGGUGGGAACGUCAGGAUGUUGGAAGCUCUGAGCUAGAGCUGUGCUUGGGCUCCUGCUGGCUGCAGGGGGGCACCCACACUGUGCCCUCUCCUUUUGGUGCCAGAAGAGCGAUCCCAAAGGAAGUGCCAUCAUUUCUUGCAACUGCAGGUCCAGCCUCCAUCACUCAUGGUCCCAGCCCUGGGGACAGCAAAAGUCAGUAAAGUCAGCAGGACCUGGGGGUGAGGCCUUCGGGGUCGCCUUUACUUCAGGAAUCCCUCAUUUACACCCAGGACAUCCACACACGUGCACAAGUGAAGGUGUCUCCGAAUUUCUGUGGCUUCCUUUCUGGAGCAGAGCCACAGGAGUGGUGGGGUUUGUAUUAAAUAUGAAUUUCCUCCUCUUAUGGAAUGUUUACUCUCAGCGCACAAUUUCCUGCCUGCUUUCGCUCAGCCUCCUGUGCGGGUUUGUAUGUUUGAGGUCUUUCCCCAAAUUUCCUGGCUAAGGUUUGCUGCCUGGGAGCUCUGAGCAGGCAGUGGGAAAUGCAUGAAUCAGGGGAGAGAGGGGGGAUGAAGGUGGCCAAAAACAGCUUAAUUUGGGCUCAAG